GAUGAACGCUGGCGGCGUGCCUAAUACAUGCAAGUCGAGCGAACAGAUAAGGAGCUUGCUCCUUUGACGUUAGCGGCGGACGGGUGAGUUACACGUGGAUAACCUACCUAUAAGACUGGGAUAACUUCGGGAAACCGGAGCUAAUACCGGAUAACAUAUUGAACCGCAUGGUUCAAUAGUGAAAGGCGGCUUUGCUGUCACUUAUAGAUGGAUCCGCGCCGUAUUAGCUAGUUGGUAAGGUAACGGCUUACCAAGGCAACGAUACGUAGCCGACCUGAGAGGGUGAUCGGCCACACUGGAACUGAGACACGGUCCAGACUCCUACGGGAGGCAGCAGUAGGGAAUCUUCCGCAAUGGGCGAAAGCCUGACGGAGCAACGCCGCGUGAGUGAUGAAGGUCUUCGGAUCGUAAAACUCUGUUAUCAGGGAAGAACAAAUGUGUAAGUAACUGUGCACAUCUUGACGGUACCUGAUCAGAAAGCCACGGCGAACUACGU
rnacentral:rRNA from 1 species